AUGACCUGCAAGGCUGGCAACCCAGGGAAUGGGACAUCUGCAGACCUGAACCUUGAGGCUGGCCUGAUAUUUAUUGCAGACGAAAAAGGAAACUUCACUCACAAUACCUGUCCUACCAAUGAGGUCGCCAUAUGUGGAACUUGGGUUGCAGUUAAGGACUUCUGGCUUUUUAACAGCUAUUCAUCUGGGAAGAAAAGGCAUCACAUGAGCCCAGGUCUAGGGAUGUGCUGUGCCUGGAAGAUGUAA
rnacentral:lncRNA from 1 species